AAAUGGUAGAGUGCCAGCCUUGAGCAAAAAAGUUAAGAGACAGAACCCAGGCCUUGAGUUCAAGCUCCAGGAGUGGCACAAAAGAAAGGGGGGAAGGAAAGGGGGAGGGAGGGAG